UGAGGAAUAUUGGUCAAUGGACGCAAGUCUGAACCAGCCAAGUAGCGUGCAGGAUGGCGGCCCUAUGGGUUGUAAACUGCUUUUAGAUGGGGAUAAAGUGGGGAACGUGUUCCCUUUUGCAGGUACCAUAUGAAUAAGGACCGGCUAAUUCCGUGCCAGCAGCCGCGGUAAUACGGAAGGUUCGGGCGUUAUCCGGAUUUAUUGGGUUUAAAGGGAGCGUAGGCCGUAGAUUAAGUGUGUUGUGAAAUGUAGACGCUCAACGUCUGACUUGCAGCGCAUACUGGUUUACUUGAGUUUGCACAACGUUGGCGGAAUUCGUCGUGUAGCGGUGAAAUGCUUAGAUAUGACGAAGAACUCCGAUUGCGAAGGCAGCUUGCGGGAGCAAAACUGACGCUGAAGCUCGAAAGUGCGGGUAUCGAACAGG
rnacentral:rRNA from 1 species